CAAAUCCCUAUUCACCCAAAUGACCAAGAAAAAACUACUUUUACUUGUCCUUAUGGAACUUUUGCUUACAAGCGUUUGCCUUUCGGUCUCUGUAAUGCACCUACUACUUUUCAGCGGUGUAUGACUUCCAUUUUCUCGGAUUUGAUAGAGGAGAUGGUAGAGGUGUUCAUAGAUGAUUUCUCUGUGUAUGGCUCUUCCUUCUCCUCGUGUUUGUUGAACCUAUGCAGGGUACUCAAAAGAUGUGAAGAGACAAACCUGGUGCUGAACUGGGAGAAAUGCCAUUUCAUGGUUAGAGAAGGCAUCGUUUUGGGACACAAAAUUUUUGAGGAGGGAAUAGAGGUUGAUAAGGUUGACGUGAUGAUGCAGUUACAGCCACCAUAGACUAUCAAGGACAUCAGGGGUUUUCUUGGACAUGCAGGAUUUUACAGAAGAUUCAUCAAGGAUUUCUCCAAGUUGGCAAGACUGCUCACCAGACUGCUGUGCAAGGAAACCGAGUUUGCAUUUGAUGAAGAAUCUU
rnacentral:sRNA from 1 species